rnacentral:rRNA from 1 species
UACGGGGGGUGCGAGCGUUGUCCGGAAUCACUGGGCGUAAAGGGCGCGUAGGUGGUCUGAUAAGGGUGUGGUGAAAGCCCGGGGCUCAACCCCGGGUCGGCCGUGCCGACUGUUAGACUAGAGUACUGUAGGGGCAGGCAGAAUUCCGGGUGUAGCGGUGGAAUGCGUAGAGAUCCGGAGGAAGACCGGUGGCGAAGGCGGCCUGCUGGGCAGUUACUGACACUGAGGCGCGACAGCGUGGGGAGCAAACAGG